rnacentral:rRNA from 1 species
UUCCAGACUCCUACGGGAGGCAGCAGUGAGGAGUAUUGGUCAAUGGGCGUAAGCCUGAACCAGCCAAGUCGCGUGAGGGACGACGGCCCUACGGGUUGUAAACCUCUUUUGCCGGGGGACAAACGGCGGCACGCGUGCCGUCCUGAGGGUACCCGGAGAAAAAGCAUCGGCUAACUCCGUGCCAGCAGCCGCGGUAAUACGGAGGAUGCGAGCGUUAUCCGGAUUUAUUGGGUUUAAAGGGUGCGUAGGCGGGAUGCCAAGUCAGCGGUCAAAUGCGGGGGCUCAACCUGCGUCCGCCGUUGAAACUGGCGUUCUUGAGUGGGCGAGAAGUACGCGGAAUGCGUGGUGUAGCGGUGAAAUGCAUAGAUAUCACGCAGAACCCCGAUUGCGAAGGCAGCGUACCGGCGCCCGACUGACGCUGAAGCACGAAAGCGUGGGUAUCGAACAGGAUUAGAUACCCCAGUACGA